CCCACAAAGCUGGUAAAAAAAAAAAGAGCCAUCCAAUCAAAACAGGCGCAUAGUCGCAACGAGGCCAAUCACAGGCAGACUACUGGGCGGGACCAGGCGGAAGAAGUUUUUGAGAUCUCUCGUGUCAAAUAAGCCCUGUAUAUGUUACUUUAUACCGCCCUGAAAAUCAAUUAUAUCUGCCUGAAUGAUCCAUAAGGAAGACUGAUAUUCUUACAGUGGAGGUUUAGUUUGAAAUUGAUUUCAGAAAACGUAUUUUAAUUAAUGUCUGCUCCCUGUAAUCCGUGUGGUUCUUCUAUACAACCAACCUCCAACUGGAUGUCACAUUUCCUUGUUAUUUUUGGAGGUCAUGAUAAGUUUCACUUUCACUUUUACAAAUAACUGCUGGCGCACUAAAGGCAGCUCGUCAUGUCCCGUGAACGUCGACCUAAACAUUCAUCCCCAGUUCCCUGACUAUCCUUUCACCAUGGGUGGAGCUGGUU